UAUUUUUGUUGUUAUUAUAUUUGUCCAAACAAAUGUACCUUUAGUUGCACCAGGCAUUAAAAUGAACAAGAAACCGAAGAAAACAAGGGUGGUCUAACAACUUUUUCCAUGACUUUAGGGGUGAGAAGAGGCACAGAAGAAGGAGCGAAUGUGGGGGAAGGGAUGAGAAAGGGAAAACAAAGGAGGCGAAAGAAGAAAAAUAAGGCUGGGAGGUCAGUGAACCUUGGGGUGAGGGAUAACAGACGGGAGAUCCCGGUGGGAGUAGCAUGAAAUAACAUCACGCUGGGCUCUGAUUCACGGCCCAUCGGCGGCCAUGUCCAACACACGAGGACGCACUGUUUCCAAAGAGACGCACAUGCAGAGAGCUAAUGGAGUGUUAUUAAAGACAUGCAUCACACCACGUCACCUACCGACCACACACUAAGCCACACACACACAGACAUUAGUGCAGAAGCAGACGAUGUAUCAUUUAGCAAAGAGCCUGGGCGACACUGACACGCUCUGACAUCACACACUGCUCGUACCACGCGCACGGAUGACCUCGUCUUUUAUCACAACAUCCAUGACAUUUCUCAUGAGAGGACGGCCGUCUGGCUCAAUAGAAGGAGAGCGGCCUUUUGUCGCGUUAUAAAGGUCUCCAAAGCGGUUUGAUUGGCAGGUGUCAGAGGAACAAAGCUCCAGCAGCAGAGUCAGGAGGAGACCUUUAGCCCGCACUCGGCCCGACAUCAGGGGCGCCCAAGUUUCUCUCCGGGGAGCAACUUUUCUACUUUUUUCCUCCAUUUUUUCCUGAUCUGAUUUGCAUGUUAUAGACGUUGAAAUAUGUCUUCUUUUCUACCGUUUUAUCACAUUUAACUGACUGAAUUGUGAAAGAAAAUAUUUAUAUCAACAAGUGGAGUGUAAAUAAAAGUAAUCUUUAGCUGCUGCCUGACAAAGAAAAAGAGAGAUGAAGGGGUAGAAGAGAAAGAAAGCAUGACUGAUGGAAGACGAUGAUAUAUGUGUUUUCAUUUCUUCUAUAAUUCUAAUGGAUUUCAUUGCUACUCGGUUUGGUUUUUCCAGUAACCCCUUCCUUGUUUUUCUAAUAUCUUUAAUGUCACUUCCUCUGAAGAUCAUACAUUUCAUCUUUGGGUAGCACUGGUCGGUGCAUUGGUGGCAUCCUCUGCUUUAUAAUUCAUCUUUUAAAUACAUACGCUGCUCUUUUCCAGAAAUGUUUACAUGAAGUGCAGCAUCACGUUCCACAACCCGCUCAUUUAUGUGCUCUCACACGUGUGAAUCCUCCCUCCGCAUGACCCGUCGGAGAAAUACAGGAGAUGACAGGAAACAAACGAUGUGAGCGUAUUAACACAACAGUUCGCUCUCGGCCAAAGUGCCUCGCGGUGCCACAGGAACGUGGGUGGGCCCCGCCGGGAUUCAGCUCUCCGCUCGUGACCCCGCCGACUUUGUUUUAUUCCACUGUUUAUAUCCUCGCAGAGCAUUCGAAACCACCGCCGUGACUCACGCUUCUAUUGUCGAAAAAGGGACAUAAAUGGUGUGUGAACAUGAAACCCCUGGCUUCCUUACAUGGCCCUAUAAUGCACACACACACACAAAAAAAAGUCCUGCAGUUCUUUUUCUGUCUCCUGAAUCGUUCUCUGUUAUGCUGCAAUUCAAGCCUUUUGUUUAAUAAACAAUUUGUCAGUGAUGUAUCGAACGCCAGCUCUAAUUUGAUUGUCUGUGAAAUGUGUAUGGAGGUGGCUGCCUGCUCUCUCCCUCCUAUUCUGCCUCUCCUGUCUGCAGAAGCAGCAGUGAUAUCCAAGCCUUUUCUUUUCCCCUGCAGGUGUGUGUGUGUCUGCAUUGUGUGUGCACGCGUCCACGGGGACGAGGAUGAGUGUAGAGCGAUCCUUAAGGGUUUGCAAUUACAUCUAAACGGCAUAAUCAGACAUGAUGGAUGGCUGUUGCCUUCUGCACAAUGUCUAGACCCCAGAUCCAGCGGUGCAACGAGGUUACAAGAGAAUGGGAAAUGAUGAAAGAUUUAAUAGUUCUGCUCUGCUUAAGUCCCCCUUUUGGUGACCUCGGCAAUAUUUGAGCAAUUUUAUCACAGGAAUCGGCUCAUUUUGUGGCCAAAACGUGCUAAAUAACACGCAUCUCACCAGUGAUGGAUCUUCAUUCUUGAGUUUUAAGCAGAAAAUAGUGCAGGAAUUAACUUUGUGCUGCAGAGACAUAAAAUAUUGAGGUAAUAUUUGGUGCUGGGUUGGAAUGAGACAUGUUCCUGUAAGCGGUUCCUCAAUAGGUGGCACUGUGGGACCAAGAGUUCACCAGCACCUGAUUGAGGCUUAAAGAGGAACAAAGUCAGUAAAUACAGAGCAGCAUCGGCGGGGUAAAACGAGGUGUGUUGUUCUGCUCCUUAAAGUUCAGCUCUUCCUCAUUCGUGCUCUUCAGUUUAUUCCAUCCAUCAGCGCUUGCAAAUGAACGGCCUCGGAAGACGCCAAAAGGAUCAAUGUGGGAUCUGAAGAUCAGUAUCGUCGAUGAUUAUCCUACAGAAUUGAAAUAUCGGCUGACUUGUGUCCUGUGGCUGCUUAAUAACUUUUAAAUCAUCUUCAGCUGUACUCCACAUUCCAGUGAAGACUGUCGUGGUUUCUUUUGGAUGUGCCGAGGUUGAAUAACAUGUCCGGUGACACUGUUGCUUUUCAUGACAUAAUUUCAUGAUCAGGAAGAACAGCAUCGGUCAGACAGAGACUGUCUGGAAGGAAUCAAUCAAAUGAACCUUUCCGAACAACAACCGGAGGUCCCUUUUAUACGCUUUGGACAAGAAGGUCAAGUAUGAGGUCACCACAAAUAGUUUCUGCUCAAAGACCAAAAUAGGAAACAGAGGGCCCCUUCAAUCAUCCUCCUAGACUCAGAGGCCCCUAAGAGCCCCAUCGGUCAACCACCUGAAGAUUGGGACCCUUAUUUGGACACAACCUUAAACCCUUCUGAACAGUCAGGAGCAAACAUUCCAUUCUAAACAGUUGAAAGCAGGUGAAGCGGAUGCCAUUCUACUAAAUACAGUAAGCAACACAUGUCUCAGAUCAGAUACUACGAGACCAAACAUGUUUGUUCAUCCACGUGUUAAAGAUUUUUUUUCAAUUUAAAAUCAGCGCUCCCUUUGAUUCUCUUUGGCCUGCCAGUCAGUACAAAAGAGUUCCAUUAAUAAUAAGUGGAACAUUUUGUUCUAUUUUGUCUUUUCUCCAUUUUAAACUACUAACUGGACCCAGUGCAGCACUCCCCAGUUUUUUUGACAAAUGAAAUAAACUCAAAAUACAAAUAUAACGAGGUGGAGAGAGAGUCUGUAACCAGAACUGCACUGUAUGUGUGUCAAUCAGAAAAUAACUAUAUUUUUAAGAUAAAUACAUGUGGUUUAAGAUCAGAUAAGAUAAGAUAAGAUAGACUAUUGAUCUCACAAAGGAGAAAUUUACUGUUACAGAGCUCUUAGGAUCAAACAGGGGUGCAAAAAAGUCACGAAAGGUGCAAGUACAAGAUAACUCUUAUAUACAUUGUUAUAAGAUAGAAAACUUUUCCUAUAUACAUUGUUAUAAAAUAAGAUAUACCACAUAAUAACAACUACACAGUAGUGUUAUACAGUCUGAUGAUUAUUUGCAUAAUAUCAACAUUUCAUAUUUUAAAUACUGCGAUUAUCAUCAAAACUGGCAUAUUGUGAUACGUCUAUCGCAUUUCUGAUCAUCACAGUGAUUAAGAUUCAUUUUCUUACUCUCUGUAUUUGUGCCAAUAUCAACACAAUUUCACUGAAUCCAUCUAAUAGCUGUUGAGAUGCGUCAUCACACUGAUAUUCUCCUUUUCUUGCGGUCAUUUUGACUUGUACAGCUGGUUUCACAAACUUGCCAAACUGAGUCUUUUCUGUGCUAUCUUGCAGAAAUUAAAAUAAAACGUAUAUUUUUGAAUCCCCGCCGCAGGUAUUUAGUAUCUUGCUACAGAAGAUUUAAACGGGGCAUAUUCCUGCUCAGGGCUCCGGCUAAGAAACACUGCAGCCUCGACUGUAAGAGCUGAUCUUUAUGAUUGCUGUGAUCAAGAAGAACCUCGGGGAAUUCAGAAUGAGUGCAUACAUUACUGCACUUUAUUCAAAACCUCCAGGAGCCGGCGAUGAGUGCAUACAUUAAUAUAUUUUAUUUUAAUGACAUGUAAUUUGUUGCACACACUAGCUCUGGAUAAUUUUCCCUUCCGUGAUACUAAAAACCAGUUUAAGGUAAUUAGGAGAGAUUGUUUUUAAUGGAAGAUAAACGGCGUACUGCAGGCUGCUUCUGAAUCAAUACCAUGCUACAGUUUGAAACGGCGCUGCAUCAUUUGCUGAAAUUACCACCAUUGAUUGGUCGCUAUCAGUCAUUUUAAUUUAAUUUUAAAUGACUGUAAGGAAAGAUGGAAAUCUGACUGGGACAUUUUUGGUUUGACGGCAUAUUGCUUUUCUACCAAAGGAUAUUGGAGCGGAGCUACGGAAAAUGAAUUUCCCCCCUGAAGCAACGCUGAAUAAAACCCGAGUAAUGAGCAGGCUUCAGUUUUGGUUUAUUCGCUGUAAUGUAAUGACAAUAUGGUUUGUUUUCCCGUUUUCUCUUUGAAGUCCUGUCAAGAUUGAUUUGCAGUCAAAGGUGUUAAAAACUGCCUUAAUUAACAGAUGAGUCCGCUCAGUCGAACAGUUUCUGCAAAAAGCUUGUUAUCUGUCAAAAGUUCCGCCAUCCGGGCUAAAAAACUGAGAGUGGGCUGGUCGGGUAUGAGGUCAAACGCUCGAGUCAAACGCUGUGCUAAUGAGCUUGAAUCAUGCCAUUGGCCACCCACGCGCUGUUGACUCUCAAGCGCUUAUUGAUUUUUUUUGGCUCAGACAAGCUGUUCCUCCUCUGCCCACUCGGUGACCUUCCAUACUCAUCUCCUUCUUGAUCCCUUCUCUUAUCUUUUAAUGUUUUCACUGACCUUUUCCUUUUCUCUGUUUCAACUCUAGACUUUCUCGAACAUGACAGGUCUUUGAUUUCUCUCUCUAUCGCUCCCUUUCCCUGGAGUUAGAGAGGAUAUCAGAUAAGGAAAAAGCUGCUGAUUCAGGCUUUGGCGUCAACAGGGUGUCGAGUCCAGGAUCACCUGGAGGGCGGCUGGUUUUACCGCAGAGCUGCAGAAGCAAUCAAGCAGAGCACUGAGUGUUCCACCAACACUCCUGAACUCUGAUCUCUAAUGAAAUGUGGGCGACUAUGUGUCCCUUAGGGUUAUCCGAUGGACAUUACCAACACCACCAAAGAGACUGCAAAGACAGAAUCACCCCUGAUGUGCAGUUAGCUGACGCUGUAGCUUUAACUUAUUUAGUUUGAACAUUAAACAUAGAAGGGUUUAUAGAAGCAAGUUGUGCCUUGUUUCAAAAUUUAGGGAAAUUCCUGUAAUUUCACAUGAUGUCUUUUAUUUUUUGAUACCACCUAUCCCACAUGCUGAUGUUGACCUUUGAAUCCGAAGGUCGGACAGAUAUUUUUGAUUUUUAGCUGUUCAUAUUUCAUCCAUUACAUACCAUAGCAUUUUCGUUUUAUACAUAUCCAAUCCUUAGAUAGCCAAAUUAUACCACAUAAAAUCUCUAAUGGAUAUGAUGAUUAGUUUUUGUGUAAUGGGCGGCCAAAUGUAGCAGUUUAGAAGUUCGUGAUGGAUAAAAUCGCAACUUUGUCAUUCUCUGUAACAUGCAAUUAUAAAUAUAAAGUAAAUAUUUUCACAUUUCUGAGGACUAUAGGUCACGGUGAAAUGAUUCUGAAAAUUUCAGAUCUCUAUCUUUUGUUGUUCAGAAGUUAUAGAAGUCUGAAAAUGGUCGAAAAUUUCAAGUCUUAAAUUUUUCAAGCUGCAAUUUUUGGGUACCCCCUACCUACUUCAAAUGGCCAUAACUUUGAAACUAAUGACAAUAAAGCAUUCAAAUUUUGGAUUUUCCCAUCAUAUAUAAUGUACUAAAUGUAUGUAAAAACUUAGCAAAAUCUGAGAGGGUCAGGUGGGGACCACUGGUUGAAAUGUUAUGGAGUGACCCUUAAACAGACAAGUAGUUGGUUGUAGCUAAAUGGCUCUUUACUAGUAUUUUCUACUUUUGAGGCACUUUUUUUUGCUCUAAAUCUCAUAUAGUGUCAUUCAACUGACCUGGUAGUAACUGAAUUCAGCAAACAAGUAUCUAGAAGCAUGGAGUUAGCUGAAGUUUCCCAUACGUCGCAAACACUGCUUAAACUUCUAGUAUAUAACUUUAUCAACUCACCUAUAUCAUAAUGCCCGCUGUCACUGGGCCUCACGGCUGUGUGUGUGGGAUGAGUGUUGUGGUGACAGCCUGAUUUACAGGCCACUGGUGUGUUUAAUGGAGCCGAUGAAGCAGUGAUCGCUCAUCCAAUGCCUUUUUCUCUCCUUCCACCCCUCCUGCCAGCCAUCUCUCAACACACAAACAACAUCUAUGUGAUGCAAGAAGGUGGUCACACAUAUACCCCGAAGUCCGCCCACGCUCACACCAAAUCCUGCUUCAUAGGGGAAUAAUCCAAUGACAGCCAAUUUGCUGCAGGGAUAUACUUAAAAAAAAAAAGAUUUCAUUCUUUAUUUACCCAUCGCUUGUGCUUUUACAAGGCAAUUUGUUAGGUGGCCAGCUGGAGGAGGGAAGCAUUAACCUAGACUUCCAUUACCAUGCCCACCCCUCUGCAUCCCCUCAUCCUUUUAAGAUUAAGCCGCUCUCUCCACCUAAAAAAAAAAAAAAAAAAAAAAAAGAGGGUCCUGUGUAAUCAUGAAAGUGUCACAUUUCAGCUGAGAAAGGAGGAAUCGGUGGCUUCGGGGGUCACUCUAAAAUUCUCCACUCUCGCUUCUAUUCUUUUUCCCUUUCUCUCCCUACCUCUCACAUCCACCCACACUCUCUCUUUCUCCCUCUCCCUCCCUUGCCGCCAUUGCUCUUUAUUUAUUUAUUUCCACCUGUAUCGCCGCUCUUUGCUCUUGUUACGCUUUCCUCUUUCUCUUGAUUUUGUCCUCACUUUCCAUCUUCUCCUCCAGUUCCUCUCCAGUCUUGUUAUGCUUCCAUCUCUCUCCCUCUCCCCUCCCUUCUUCUUCUUUCUCUGACAGUGGUUCAAUAAGCAGUGCCUCCAGAGUGGUCUUGCUCAGUCAGUGGCCAAUUACCCAGUCACACUGCCUGUCCUCUGGGACGGACAGGAUUAGCAGGAUCUGUCGUCCCACCAGACACACACACUCUCACACACACUCUGCCUUGGACACCUGUCACUUAGACAUGGACAGACAACCUGUGGGUUCCUUUUUUUGUCUGUGGAAAUAAAAAAAGAAGGAAGAAGAAGCUCAGGCUCCUCCAUCUUUUCCCCCAACGGGCAAUUUGACAGGCCAGUGAAGAGAGGCACAGCAGAGGAGGAAAUAUAUGCUGUAUCAAAUGCAUAAAAGUGCAGUACAAGCUCCAGUGGUGCAGGUGGUCAGUGUGUGGAAACCAGCAGAGCAGCACUGAGGGAUCAGACCUCACCUGGAGCAGGGUUUCGCUUAAGGGCAGCUAGCUCAGGGGCAACUUGGAUUUGCAACCCGAUGACCAGAGCAGUGCAGCCGGGGAAAACGCAGCAACAGGAACCUAAUGCCACUCAUUACUUCCCCCCCAAGGCUCAGCUUCUUUCUUGAUGCAAGCAGUUCACUUCUGCACAGCAUUUCCAGCCUGAUGAUGUCAGCUAUACGUUCUUGUGAAGCUGCGAGGAGUUGACCGAGGAGCUGCGAUAUUAGGCCACAAGCAAAAUUACUCUGGAUUUUUGGGGCUCGCUGCAUUUUUACAAAACAAAAUAAAAGGUACACUGAGUUGGGAUGUGUGCCCACAUAUGCUGAUGUGUUAGCAAUGCUCCACCAUUAUUACUAAAGGCUCUAAACGGCCUACUGUCAAACAGGGUUAGGGUUGGUGACUGAGUGUUUUCUAUUUGGGUCCCUCAACUUUGGAACAACCUGCCCGAGGAGAUAAGACCUGCAGAGUCAGUAGCUUCUUUUAAAUCACUUCUUAAAACCCACUUUUACAGACUUGCUUUUAAAUGAGGUUUACUUUUAGCUUUAAUUAGUUUUAGUGUUUUAUUCUGUAUUAUAUCCUGUUUAUUUUAGAUGUUCUCUCUUGUUUUAUUUUACUUUUGGCCGCCUGUUUGUUUGUUUUUUGGCGUGAUGUAAUCUCUCCAAUUCCUUUAUUCUCUUUUUUUUUUACGUUUAAUUUUCACCUUCGAUCUUGUUCUUUAAUUUUCAAACUGACUAGUUCCCUUGUUUGAGUUGCGUACUAAUCUAGAGAAGUAUUCAUUUAAUUUAUUGUCAUUUUUACUGUUUAUUUUGAAUUGACUGCUCUGACUUGUCUCCUACAUCUUGUUUGACUGUCUGUGUGUUUGCAUGUUUUAACUGUCAAAGCACUUUGUGAAUGCUGUUCUUACAGGUGCUAUAUAAAUAACGCUAUUAUUAUCAUUCUCCUUUAUCAUCUGUUUUACAUUAAUUGGACCCACAACUUACAAAAUAAUGUCAUGCUGCACUGAAGAAGAACUGAAACUAGAGAUCAAGACCAUAAAUUCACCAAGAAAAUAUUUCCUGAAGUGAUAAAUCACAGCAAAAGUAGGUUUUUUUUCUCAUAGAGUUCAAUGUAAUUAAAAAUAUUUCUUGCAUCCAGAGGAGUCGCCCCCUGCUGGAUGUUAAAAAGAAUGCAGGUUUAAAACAAUUCUGCAUUGGCCUCACUUUAUAGAUUCUGUGCAUCUUUAUAAACAGAUUUCCAUUAACAGGGCACGGAAAGUCAACCGUCAUGUCGAGGAUCAUUACUGACCAUGAAAGUUGGGACCAUUAUCUCCAAGCGCACUAGAUCAGGAGCGCACAAAUAUCAUUGUUUUCUUUGACAUUCAUAAAGUUGUGUACCAUGAAUAAAGGCUGGAUAGUCAAUGCUGUAAUUCCCUGAGACAUCUGAGCGAGAACAUUCGGUGCUAAAGACCUGAACUGUGACAAUCACAACUAGGUGGUCCAUCAUAGUAAUGUCUCACAACCCAAGUUUCUGGCUGCAUCAACACAAUCAUUGCUCCCCACACACUAGAUUUGGCUCGCUGUAACUUCUCCAUCUUCUCCAAAAUGAAGCUCAAAUUGAAAGGUUGCCAUAUUGACACAGAGGAGGACAUCCUGCUCAGACGAUGCUUUGAUAGACAACAGGACCUCCAGGUAACGUGGGCAUUAAAUCAAAGGGGACGGAAGCCAAAUGAAAUAAUGUACAGAUCUAGAGUCUUUUUGAUCAUUACUUGUAUAAAGUACACAAAAUCCACUGGCACAAGAACACCAAACAGUAUUUAUAGCAAAAGUAACUGUGAUUCUUUCUGUAUAGACACUUAUGCUUAAAAAACUGCCUGAAGAUGUACUUGCAGAUUAAAACGUUGCAUUGCCGCCACUAAUUACAUACUAGUGAAGCAGUGAUCUCGUCUUUUUCUCUUCUGGUCCAGCACUUGCAAAAAGAAACAUUUCUUGGAUGACAUUUGUUUGACUUCUUGGAAAACCAGCCGGUAAAAGCAGGGCGGAUUACCCUGUGAACCGUUCAGCAAACUGGCCUGCGUGAAGAAGACGUCAGCGACUGGAAAGCAUCCUGGAUGGAAAUCCCAAACGCACUUUGGUCGGACUCAGAAACAAUGAUUAAACUGAUUCAUGUGGAAAUCAACUUCUUCAGGAAAGCUGCGGGGAGUAUUCAACGCUGAAGGCACCACAAAUUAAACCGCUUUCUUGCCCCUUGUGAAAAAAACACCAAAGUUAUCUAAAUGAUCAGACACUAGAGGCAAAUAAAAUACAGUUUUUUGUAAGUUG